CCUACGGGUGGCAGCAGUGGGGAAUAUUGGGCAAUGGACGCAAGUCUGACCCAGCAACGCCGCGUGCGGGAAGAAGGCUUUCGGGUUGUAAACUUCUUUUAAGGGGGAAGAGCAGAAGACGGUACCCCUUGAAUAAGCCACGGCUAACUACGUGCCAGCAGCCGCUGGAAUACGUAGGUGGCAAGCGUUGUCUGGAUUUACUGGGUGUAAAGGGCGUGCAGCCGGGAAGAAAAGUCAGAUUUGAACUCCGGCGGUUCAACCGUGAAACUGCAUGUGAAACUGUUUUUCUUGAGUAUCGGAGAGGUAAUCGGAAUUCCUAGUGUAGCGGUGAAAUGCGUAGAUAUUAGGAAGAACACCAGUGGCGAAGGCGGAUUACUGGACGACAACUGACGGUGAGGCGCGAAAGCGUGGGGAGCAAACAGGAUUAGAUACCCCAGUAGUC
rnacentral:rRNA from 1 species